AGGAGAGAACUUGACGAUGAUGAUGACUCUUGAUUUUAUGAGGUGCAUGUGUUUCUUUGAGCAUCUCUAGAGAAAAUAAUGCUCGUGGACCUGGAUAUCGGUUUGUAAAUCGUCGUUGUAUUUUUAAAUCACAACUUUCUUUGUGUUGAGCCCAAAACAAACAGUGAGUUGAUUGAGUUGUGCGGCAAAUUUAUAUGUAUAUAUAUGUGGAUGAUUAUAAGUUGGCAGAGAUACUUUAAGAGAGAGAUGAUAUGUAUGAAAAAACAUGUGUGACUUUGUUGUGUA